GACUGAACCUCUGAAAGUGUAAGCCAGCCCCAAUUAAAUGUUGUUUUCUACAAGAGUUGCUUUGGUCAUGGUGUGUCUUCAGAGCAGCGGGAACCCUAACUGGAUCAGCCCCUUCUCCCUUUGCUGCCUGGCCACUUGGCAGCUUCUCUGGGGGAAAUGCUGGCUGUGUUCGCCUCUCUGCUAUAAGGCACUGCUCUGCCUUUUAACUCCAAGCAAUGUCUGGAGCUACAGCAACCUUCUUGGACAAUUAGACAACAAAAUGUAAAUGUUGGUCACCCAAUGGCUGAGCAGAAAAGAGGAGAGGAGAGUCAGCUCACAGGGAAGAUGGAGGAAUUGGGGCAACGAAGAAGGGGUCUGAAGAGUCAGAUCAAUAAUAAUACGCAAGUAUCUUAGGAUGGGGCUGGGAGGUAGAAGAUUAGCAUAGAAGUUAAGGUGCAUCUUUCAUUUAACUGCUCAGCUGUCCAGGUGCAGUCUUAAAUCUUGGCUUCUCUGCAAAGUUAUUGGGAUUAGCAUAAGGUAAAUCAAUACAGCCACUGGAUUAAUUCACUGUUUACAUUUAUAUUAGGGAUAAUUAAUUCAUUUUCAGAAUCUAACUUGCACCCGUUUCUCCUAGGACCAUGCUUAAUCUUUUGUAACCCUUGAAUCCAUUUGUGUGACUGUCACAGGGUGGUCCUACUCUCUACAAGGCCAACACAAGUGAGAACCUGUGCUCACACUUGUCAUGGUGGUUCCCUGGGGCUAGAACAGAGUUGGAGAAAGAGAAGCACUCAGAACAAGUCGAGUUAGAUGAAUGAACACUGUUUGAUUCUGGAACAGCCACAGGGAGGCUGUGGAAGGAGUAGAGUGGAGGGCUGUAUUGGGUCAGAGUUCUAUUAUGGAGGGGUAGAAAUUUGAGGCGGUGUUUCUCUCAGUUCUGAAACUCACUCUAUAGACCAGGCUGGCCUCAAACUCACAAAAAUCUUUCUGCCUCUGCUUCUCAAGUGCUGGGAUUAAAGGUGUGCAUUGCCAGCUAAAAUUAAAAAAAAAAAAAAAGCCUUAAUCAUGGUUGGUGCUAAUGGCAGGUUCUGAAAUACAUUCCUCUCUAAUGGGGCAAAGCCACAGGGGCUGGGCAAUUCAACUCCCCAGUUAGCAGCUAUUGAAUACUCUCCUGUUGUCUUGGCUGCCUUGAGCAAACAGCCGGCCUGACUGCCCUUAUGCCAGCACCAGCCUUCUGGAACACUCCGCAGCUGCCCUGAGACAAGUGUACAAAAGACAGCAGCUGAGUGCUUUGGCUCCCCAGAGCAUAGUCCUAGCCAGGGCUGCUCGGAAGAGUCUGUAGUAGAUGCUUUUGCUCUAACAAGGCUUGAUAUAUAAGUCUGGGUAAAGAGUUUGUAUAGUUGUUCCAUUUGCCAUCCUUUUACAUAAAGAGAUUUUACCUGUCUCCAAUUAUUGUGGAUGUGGGAACCAAGCAGACAGAACUAUCUCAGAAAACAUCAGGUGACUGGGACUUCCUGAUAAGCUUGAGGCCAGGGAGUUUCACAGAAUUUGCUGAGUAAACACCCUAUUCAGGAAGUGUCCCAACCACAGUAAGGGUUGGACCCUCCACCUCCCCGCUCUUCUGCGUACCAGAGAUAUCUCCCCAUCAAGGUCCUCCAAUGAAUUCAAAGGACAAUAGGCGACCACCAGUGAAUUCAAAAGGUUGCCUCUGCCCCGAUUGCAGAAUGACCUCAGUGCACUGGAUCAAUAAACCUCUUGCUUCUUGCAUCAA